rnacentral:lncRNA from 1 species
CGAACCCAUUUGCAGUUCCGGUGAGGGUAAGAGAUUGCUCACCGCACUGUGCGAUCUGACUACUGGCUACAAUGCCUGUGAAGUGUGGACGGAUAUAUGCUGUCGGUUGUUCCGUUUGUAAUAUAUCAUUCCCUAUUUCCCUGAUCCGGUAAUCCUUAAUAUGAUAAUAUCCAUUAUAAUUUAUAAACUAUACAAAAAAUAAAAUUAAAAAACAAUCAAAAUUCAAAAAGGACACACAUUCAACCAGUCAACUAGUCAACAUAUUUAUUUACAUAAUUUUAUUGUAUUUUUAGCUUCAUACCAUUCAAUUAUUUGGAAAUUCCCAUCACAGGGAAAUUCUUGGCAGCAGGAGACUGUGAACGAUUGAAGGUAUGAACAGAUGAAGGUAUCUGGGACUCUUGAGUUCUGGGUAAGUCGCCGACAUGGUUACUUAUGAG